UUCUUUUGGGUGUGCCGCACAGGAAAAUUUGGGUUUCCAGGAACAAGCUGUAAAAGAAG
rnacentral:tRNA from 1 species